rnacentral:lncRNA from 1 species
AGGGAUGGCAAGCGGGCAGGUUUUCACGGGUACCCGAUCCGCCCAAAUCCUAUUAGGACGGAUUUGGAUUUUUAUAAAACGGAUUUGGACGGAUUCGGAUUUAAAAAAGUUUACCCGUCUCGGAUUCGGGUAGGGUUCGGAAUAAGGUGAUCGGAUACCCGUUACCCGAACCCGGUUAGCUAAACAAAACCCUAAUCCCUAAAUUUCCUUUUUUCAUUUCACUUGAUACGCUUCCCUCUCUCUGUCGGCGCCUCUCUCCCCCGCCGCUUCCCUUCCCAUAAUUCCCAAUCGACUCUCUCCCCCACUUCACUGCCGGCAGCCCCGACACCGGCGACGUCUCCUUUUUCUCCCCAACCACCAUAAAUCUUCUCCCUCCCCAGUUAGUUAGCGAUAUCUCCCUUUUCCCCAUCCCUUGAGUACUACCUUCAAGGAAUUCCUCUCGCGUCCCUGUAUUGAUAAGAGCGCAUUCUCAUACUCCCACACCGGUUACUUGCAGCGGUAAUUCUCAAUAAGCAAGAGCUGCGUCUGAUUGAAGAGCUCCAAGGCAAACAACGGAUAUUCUAACAAGACCGGGUAAGCAUUCGGCUAUAGGAACAGUAAUCCCACAAACUAAAAAUACAGAGUCUGCAAGCUGCUCGUGAGGUUUUUUUUUCUUUUUAUUUUUUUUUAUUUAUCACUUGUGCGCUUUGUGUAUUAUUGAAUUGGCACAAUAUUAGCAUUUUUAAUCUUGUUCUUGUAGUUUCCUUGUAUGAGAUUUUGCUCUAUCUCUGGGUUGGUUCAAAUUGCUUUUUUCAUUUGGAUAGAGACUAGAGAGUUAGCUUUUAAAAAACCCGUAUAUGGUGUUUUUUUGUUUUACCUGAGUCUGGCAUCUGGAUAUUGCUGGAUGCGUGCCAUUAUUUGAGUCUGGCAUCUAUGCUUUGAGAAGCUAUUUUGUUAUGUUUCUGUUUGUUUUUUGCUGUUUGUCCUCUCGCCUCCUCUCUCUCUUUUCCUUUUCUUUAGCCUAGUGUAACGAAAAUUGACUGGGAGGCUAAUUGUUUGACAUCACAGGCUUAGGUAUUGAUCUGUGCAACUUCUAUGAGUAGUUCAUUCAUGCAACUUCUAUGAGUAGUUCAUUCAUUGCUUCUUGUUGAUUUUUCCUUCAGAGUGUUACUGCUUGGUCUUAAAUCUUAAUAUCUGAACCUGGAGUAGUAAUUUCCUAGCAUAUCAAUUAGCAUUACCCAAAUGAACCUUAGUGGCUUCUAUGAUCUGGUUUUCCUUGACUUCUGGAAAAAUCUUUUUGUUCUUCUAUGCAUAUGACCUUGGGUGUUCUUAAUUUCUUAUGCUUAUGUGGGAACAGUUUUGAGUGAAUUUUGUGAUUCUAUUUGCUUGAAUUGAAGUAAAAAAAUCGAGUUCGGUCGGGUUCGGGUAGUGUGCGGGUAUUGUUAAACGGAUUUGGGACGGGUACGGGUAUUAAAAUUAAAAUACUAAACGGGUUUGGGACGGAUUCGGGGAUUUUACAUAUCAUCGGGUUCGGAUUUGGGUACUCUCAGUUUCGCAGGUACCCUACCCGUUGCCAUCCCUAGG